CACACCGCCCGUCACACCAUGGGAGUCGGUCGCUCCAGAAAUCGGCUGCGCGAACCCGCAAGGGACCGCAGGUCCUCAAGGAGUGGCCGGUAACUGGGUG
rnacentral:rRNA from 1 species